UACAGAGGUGGCAAGCGUUGUUCGGAAUUACUGGGCGUAAAGGGCGCGUAGGCGGCCAACUAAGUCGGACGUGAAAUCCCCAGGCUCAACCUGGGAACUGCGUCCGAUACUGGAUGGCUCGAAUCCGGGAGAGGGAUGUGGAAUUCCAGGUGUAGCGGUGAAAUGCGUAGAUAUCUGGAGGAACACCGGUGGCGAAAGCGGCUCACUGGACCGUCACUGACGCUGAGGUGCGAAAGCUAGGGUAGCAAACGGG
rnacentral:rRNA from 1 species